rnacentral:tRNA from 1 species
GUACAGGGGGUUUUGAGCCCUCGGGCGCAGGUUCGUGUCCUGUCUUUCUAGG